AGAGAAGGGUCGGGUUGACUCUAGCUAGAGCUAGCUCAUCUCAUCUUUAUCAAACCUAAAACCAUAGAACCGAACCGCACGGCGAGUACCGGCGGGCAUAGAGGGGUGCUAUCGGCGACGGCGACGGCGCUGCGGUUACCGACGGAUUUGCUUUCGCUGCCGGCGGCGAUGAUCAAAAGCGAAUUUCUUUGUCACCGGUCCCUCCCUCUAGUAGCAUAAGCAUCUGCUAAGGAGGAGGAAGGGGACGAGGGAAGGAGGAGUACGCGAACAAGGGAGGGCGGAAAUGGUGACCAUGGUCGCCUGCUGCUGGUAAGAGGUCUAGUGCGUGCCCGGAGGCGAGAGGUCCACUGGCCGGUACUCGCACGCCCCGCUGGGCCGCCGCCGCCGACGAGGGCCCCUCCUCUGCCGCCUCCUCGACGACCGCGCGCACUCCCCGUACCACGUCCGCCGCCACCCGCGGCGGUGCCGGCGCCUCCCCAAGGGCCCGGCCACCUUCCGCUAGCGCCGGUUCGACCCGCGCGAGGGCCGCGCGGACAGGCUGGACAGGUCGGUGGGGACGAAGCGGGCCUUGCGCGAGACGGCGCUCGACGACGUGAGGCACCGGCGGUGCGAGCGGCUGCGCCGCCUCGAGCGCCGCGCCACGGCCCCGGGCGGGUCCCUGCCGUUCGACGUCUGCGUCUCGCGGUAGCUGCGGGAGCCGCGGGCCGAGCUACAGUUGGAGGCGCUGACGCGCGACGAGCAGGCCUGGCCGCACGAGAGGCUGAGGCUGCGGAGGCGGCAGCGGCGGGGCCGGUGCCGCGUCCGCCUGCACGCCCUCGACGAGCGCGCCGACGUCUAGCCCGUGCGGCUGCGGUUCUGGGCGCGCCACCUGCCCGACGAGCUGCGCGAGUUGGCCCUGCUCUUCUCAUAGCACAGCGACGAGCCGGCGCGGUUGCACAGGCGCGACCAGGUCGACGAGUGCCGCGGCCGCGGGUUCCGCGCCCUCUUCCGGCGGUACCACUAAACGGCCGAGCGGCUCAGCCCUCCGCCGCGGACGCUCCCCGACGACCACAGCCUCCCGCGCGACGGCGGCGAGUAGGCCGACCGGCUCAGGCCGUCGUCGGAGCAGCCGGCGCUCUUCCGGCACGAGUGCGACGUCGCGGAGAGGCGCAGGGGGCUGCAGCGCGCGCGGUAGCGGCCGGUGCCGCCGCACGCGGGCGAGUAGCUCUAGACGGUCUGCCCCCUGAGGCACAGGGUCAGGCGCCGUCGGCCGCGCGAGUUCUUGGAGAGGCGCCGCGGGCUCCGCGCCGUUCGCGACCGGCUGCUUCCGUAGCAGGCGCAGUACCAGUCGGACGACCUGAUGCCGUGGCACGAUCCGAGGUUCCUCGUGCGGCGGCUGACGGACGUCUUGGAGUGCUGCCCGCCGCUGUCGAAGGCCGCGCGGCACCGCGUGCUGCCGCCCGACGCGUCGGACGAGGAGAUGGACCUGCGCGGCAGCGGCGUCCUCAGGCGCCACGCGCGCGACCCCUUGUACCACCUGCGGUAGAGGGGGCUGUGGUAGCAGAGCGAGCCGCACGAGGGCGCCGACCGCGUGCGCGAGUCCCAGCCGAGCCGGCCGCGCGUCGUCCGCCGCCGGCGCCGCUAGACGUCCUAGCGGCGGUCGCCGUCGUUCCUGUACUUCGCCGACCACCCCCUCGUGCCGACGUAGGGCGACGACCACGCCUACGACCUCCGGUUCAGCCCGCCGCGCGCCCUCCACCGCCGCGUCCGCCACCGCUCGGACCGCCGCCCCGUGGGCCCGUUGCGCGCCCUCCACGCCUCCCUGCUCUCCUCGCACGGCUCGGACCACGUCGACGACCUCGGCUCGGGCCGCUUGUGCCGCUCCUUCAUGCGGUAGCGCACGGACCGCUGCGACAGCGGCCGCUUCGCCACGUUCUUCGACUACCAGAGCGUGCCGCGGUAGCCCAUGGACUUCUUCGACAGCCUGUACCUCCAGCGGCCGCGGGCCCUGGACGACCUCGCCGACCUCCUCGCGCCGUUCGAGGCAUCGUAGAAGCCGUCGUUCUUGGUCAUUUUUCAUUAAUUCAACAGAGCAAAACGACAUAUCUUUAGCGAUACAAUCCACUUAUAUAAGCAACAUUAUGAUAUAUACAAAACACUACCGGACUACGACCCAUACGACCCGUCAAGUCCUCGAAGAUGAUUAUUGGAGCAUGUGAAAUGUCACGUCGAUUCAAUUUAAUUUACUUAUUUCUACCAUAUAUAAGGACGCUCAUUAAGCACAUGUGAAAUGUCACGGUAAAACCGUAUAGAACUUUUCUUUUUUUAUAAGCGU
rnacentral:rRNA from 1 species